rnacentral:rRNA from 1 species
CCUACGGGAGGCAGCAGUGGGGAAUAUUGCACAAUGGGGGAAACCCUGAUGCAGCGACGCCGCGUGAGUGAAGAAGUAAUUCGGUACGUAAAGCUCUAUCAGCAGGGAAGAAAGACUGACCGUACGGUCAGCAGACGGUACCUGAGUAAGAAGCGCCGGCUAACUACGUGCCAGCAGCCGCGGUAAUACGUAGGGGGCAAGCGGUCUCCGGAUUUACUGGGUGUAAAGGGAGCGUAGACGGUGCGCCAAGUCUGGAGUGAAAUGCCGCAGCUUAACUGCGGAACUGCUUUGGAAACUGGCGAACUAGUGUGCGGGAGUGGUAAUCGUCAUUCCUCUUGUAGCGGUGCACUGCGUCGAUCUUAGGAGGAACCCCGGUGGCGAAGGCGUCUUACUGGACCGUAACUGACGUUGAUGCUCG